UGCCAGCAGCCGCGGUAAUACGGAGGGGGUUAGCGUUGUUCGGAAUUACUGGGCGUAAAGCGCACGUAGGCGGAUUAGUAAGUUAGUGGUGAAAUCCCAGGGCUCAACCCUGGAACUGCCUUUAAUACUGCUAGUCUAGAGUUCGAGAGAGGUGAGUGGAAUUCCAAGUGUAGAGGUGAAAUUCGUAGAUAUUUGGAGGAACACCAGUGGCGAAGGCGGCUCACUGGCUCGAUACUGACGGCUGAGGUGCGAAAGUGUGGGGAGCAAACAGGAUUAGAUA
rnacentral:rRNA from 1 species